UGGGCCACUACAAACCUGAAGGAUUUUGAACAACUUAACUCCUCUCCACCUCAGUUUCUGCCUGCAUAAUAUAGGGAACUUGAUAAAAUUUAAACCUCAUCAUAUAAAGUGGUUGUGGGGAUUAAACAAGCUAUGCAUGCCAAAGCUUAGCCUAGUGGGCACUUGUUCCAGCCUGGAUCAAUCAAGACAGCAGACACUAUUCAACCUCCAAACAGAAAGAAUUUAAUAGAGUAGAUUGAUUAUGCAGGUGACUUAAAGACUGAGAAGCCAAACAGAUAUUAUGAAGCAACCAAUAGAUGGAUGAGGGCAAAAGCCAUCAGGAAGAUGGCUUAAAGUGAAAUCCCCUUUCCAGCAGCCCAGAAGACAAAUGGAGAGGCGUCGAUUGUCACCAGUCAAAAGAACCCAGACCUUGGGAGUGACCACUGAAGAAAUGCUUUUGGAGCAGAAUGAUCAUGGCUCCUGGAUUGGGUUAGAUGGCUCAUUUGAUGUUUAACAGGCCUUCUGAUGCUACUGCUCAGUAUGUGUGCUGCUGGAAUAGUGCAAUUGAAGUUUCUCUUUUUUUUCUGAAGUCCAAUUCAUCUGAUUAGAUUUAAAGUUAAAAGAAAGUGUUUUGAUGACUUUGUCUGAAUAUCUGUCUCAUUUCUAGGACGUUCUCUCUCUACCUCUAUUUCAUCUACUAAUCUAAUCUUUGUUCCUCUCUUUUUAUUUUCCUCUCCUUCUCUCACUCCCUCUCUCUUUCUUAAUUUUAUUCUUUCUUUCUUUCAUUCAUUCACUCGUCAUCACAGCAUGCUCAACUGUGUGUCUUUGGUUUCGUCCCCUCCUCUUUCUGGGAGUCA
rnacentral:lncRNA from 10 species